rnacentral:misc_RNA from 1 species
GAUUAAUCCAAAAAAUAGCUGCUUGUAGCAAUCAAAUUACUCUAAAGAAUUGCAUAUUAGCUCAUUAUGGGUACGAAUUCCUAUAGACAGGUUAUUUGUCACGUAAUUCUCAUUUUUCAAUUUGUUCAGUUUGGCUGUCAUUUUUUUAAAGUUACAUUCAUUUGUUACUUUUGUUUUAGGAUUGCAUUGAACCGGAGAGUG